rnacentral:misc_RNA from 1 species
AACGCAUAUUGCACUCUCUUUGGAGAGUAUGCCUGUUUGAGAAUCUAUUGUAUUCAUUUUUCUAUAUAAAUUUUAUAUAGAAAAGAGUUGUCAUUACUAUAUAUAAUUAUAUAUAUAUAGUUUGAUAAAAUAGAUUUCAAUGGUCUAGUAUUUUAUACCAAACCAUAGUAAAAACUAUUUGAAUGAAACCUUUAAACCGUUUCUAUUUUCAUAGUGAUUCUAUGGGAAAUACAAUUAGUAUUCAUUGAAUAAAACCAUUAAAGAAAAAAAGUAAUGAUUUUAUCAAUACUUUUUUCUUUGAACCAUGGUCUCAAAUCAGGUAGGAGGACCCGCUGAACUUAA